rnacentral:rRNA from 1 species
AGUGAACGCUGGCGGUAGGCCUAACACAUGCAAGUCGAACGGCAGCACAGGAGAGCUUGCUCUCUGGGUGGCGAGUGGCGGACGGGUGAGGAAUACAUCGGAAUCUACUCUGUCGUGGGGGAUAACGUAGGGAAACUUACGCUAAUACCGCAUACGACCUAAGGGUGAAAGCAGGGGAUCUUCGGACCUUUCGCGAUUGAAUGAGCCGAUGUCGGCUUAGCUAGUUGGCGGGGUAAAGGCCCACCAAGGCGACGAUCCGUAGCUGGUCUGAGAGGAUGAUCAGCCACACUGGAACUGAGACACGGUCCAGACUCCUACGGGAGGCAGCAGUGGGGUAUAUUGGACAAUGGGCGCAAGCCUGAUCCAGCCAUACCGCGUGGGUGAAGAAGGCCUUCGGGUUGUAAAGCCCUUUUGUUGGGAAAGAAAUCCAGCUGGCUAAUACCCGGUUGGGAUGACGGUACCCAAAGAAUAAGCACCGGCUAACUUCGUGCCAGCCGCCGCAGUAA